CAAUGAAGGAAGCAUGGUAAUGUGCACAUAAAUUGAAUUGAGUCUCUAGGUCUGCCCUCUUUGAUGUCAUUUGGCUUUGAUUUGGGGCAUAGUUCCACAGCAAAACA